GAUGAAGAACGUAGCAAAAUGCGAUAAGUAAUGUGAAUUGCAGAAUUCAGUCAAUCAUCGAAUCUUUGAACGCACAUUGCGCCCGCCAGUAUUCUGGCGGGCAUGCCUGUUCGAGCGUCAUUUCAACCCUCAAGCACAGCUUGGUGUUGGGACUCGCGUUAAUUCGCGUUCCCCAAAUUGAUUGGCGGUCACGUCGAGCUUCCAUAGCGUAGUAGUAAAACCCUCGUUACUGGUAAUCGUCGCGGCCACGCCGUUAAACCCCAACUUCUGAAUGUUGACCUCGGAUCAGGUAGGAAUACCCGCUGAACUUAAGCAUAUCAAUAAGCGGAGGA
rnacentral:misc_RNA from 1 species